GCACAUGUGUAGGGGUCUGAGGACAACUUUAGAGAGUCAAAUAUCCCUUCCACCAUGUGUGUCCCUCAGACUAAACUCAAGUUGUCAAGCAAGUGGCCUCAGCUUCAGAGCCAUCUUGCUGGCCCUACCUCUGUUUUCUGACCAGCUGGGAUUCCAGGCCUGCAACACCAGGCCUGGGAUUGUUGAUCUAUGAGCUAUUAAUGAAGACUAUAAGCAAAUCUUGCUUAAUUUGGGUUUUGGGAGAAUUUCUUCAGCAAUCAAGGUGACUAAGCUGUGCGUUCAUUUUCUAUGCCUAAUUAGAUACUUUAGAAUGCCAUUUUAAACAUGUAAGUAGUCUUUAUUGCUGUAAGGUUUUUCAUGUGUAGAAUUUUAAAUUAUAUCUGUCUGUGACAUAAUGUCUUUGUCCACCUACAAACGAGAAGCUAUGAGUAGAGGUCAGACAUACUCUCCAGAGUCUAUACACUAGGACUCAGCACAGUAACACCCACACCAAGUAAGAAGUAAGGCUAUUAGACAAGCCUCCCCUCCCCCUUCUCUCCCUCUUCCAGUAAUAGUCUGGAGGAAUUGAAGUAAUUGUUUACUUCAUGCUCUUACUCCUUUUGGGUUUUUUUAGUCUUCUUCCAGCCACAAUUGUAGGUGAGAUUAUUUGCCCAAAAAGAAAAUGAACUAAGGGUAUUGCACAUGGUCUCAUUUAAAAUAGGAAAUGGGGGCUGGAAAGAUGGCUCAGUGGUUAAGAGCACUGGCUGCUCUUCCAGAAGUCCUGAGCUCAACUCCCAGUAACUCAGGGUGGCUCACGACCAUCCAUAAUGUGAUCUGAUGUCCUCUUCUGGCACGCAGGUGUGCAAGCAGAUAGAGUACUCAUACAUAAAGUAAAAAAAAUAAAACAGGAAAUGGACACAAUCACGAAUUUACAAAUAAAAAUUAGUUUUUACAAAUAAAAAUUAGUUUCAGGACUGGUGAGAUUUCUCAGUGGGUAAAGUCCUUUGCCACCAAGACUUAUGACCUGAGUUUGAUCCCUGGGACCCACCUGGUGGAAGGGGACCUGAGUCCUAAAGUGUCCUCUGACCACACAUCCCCCUUACCAUGAGAUCAAACAAACCAACAACUAACUUAAACAAAGGUCCCAAACCUUUUGCUCUCCCAGUGCGAUUUGGUGUUCAGGGGCCAGGUUGAGUCCUCGGUGUCCUUAUCUUUAGGAUGGACAGAACCAUCUCAGUGGGGACGAGGAACUGUGUUUCAAACUUGCAGGUUCUUGGAAAGGUGCUUUUGUCCUUAUUCCUCUGCCCUGCAGUUUCCCACAGAUCUCCUGUAUAACACGGCCAUUUUUGCAGGAUUGCUAAUCACACUCCAUCUCCUGUAAUCGGCAGUGCAGCCUGAUGACAGCCCAACACAGCCAGCAGCACUCUGAGGAGGAACCCCCUUCCUGGGGGAAUCCACACCUCAGGCAGCCCAGGAUCCCUGCCUUCUCAGGGAGAGCUGGACUAUGCUGGCUUCACAGGCAUGCAGCACGCCCGGCUUUGCUUCUUAAACUCUUGAAUUUUUCAGUUUUGCUUAAUCCUUAGAUAGACCUGAUGGUAAAUGACACCAUUUGUGAAAUGGAGCUUAGAGAGCCACAGAGUGAAUGAGAGCGAGCACCCAAGCAGGACUGACUCCUGGGAAGCCCACAUCUGUCCUAAGAUUGCGCCCCGCCCAUUUCUGCCUUUCAUUUAUUUAUUGAACGCAUAAGUAAUAGCUUAUGAAACCGAACCUAAUAAUUGUGUUUAUGUAAGCAUACAAAAGCACCACAUCUACUCUCUGUAUUCUUUCUCAGUUGUUUAGUGUUUAUCUUGGAGAUUUAUGUUCAUAAAAAAUUCUCUAAUUUCUUCAAAAUGGUGCAUGUUAUUCCAAAUAAGCUUGUCUACAUCUUUCUGGACAUUUAGAUUUCCUAGUUCCUUGCUAUGACCUAACAGCAUUAUCUGUGUCUUCCUGCACAUGAGUAUCACUGUUAUUCUAGGUCAACUGUUCUCAGCUGGGAACAUCUGCUGAUAUUUGAGGCUUUUUGAUAGAAACAAAGUUGGCAAGGGGCAGGGCUACCAGCAUCUAGUAGGUAGAGGCCAAAGAUAUCACUAAAUGCCUUAGAGUACACAUGGUAGCCUCUAACAACAAAGGACUAUAUAGUAAAACAGCAAAGUGCCCAGUUUGGGUUUUUAACACAUAAGCCACACUUGAUGUGGAUUACUGCUUUAGUUGUUAUAGCUGUUGGUAUGCAACAACCCAUCUCCAAACUCUAAAAGUAGUAAUAACUACUUAUUAUUUCCCAUGAUUCUUUGUGCUUUCUACUCAGUUGCUUAAUGAUUUCUGUGUGUGUGUGUGUGUGUGUGUGUGUGUGCUGGAGGUGUACGUGUGUUGUGGGGUGCAUGUGUGAGGAACCCAGAGGAUGUUGAUGUACUCCUUCAUUUUGGGGUGAGAUCACUUGUAUAGCUGCUUUGUUUCAGCUGGGGUCAAAAGAACUCUGGCUCACAGCUGGCUGUCAGCGCUUGUCACCUGACAUCUGGAGGACCCUGGUUCCCCUCCAUGGGGCCUCUCCUCCUCCAGCAGCUUAGACCACUACUUACAGGUUCAGGACAUUGUUCCAAGAGAGCAUUCAGGGAGGCUUCCACGUGACACCAGUUCAGAAUGCUACAUUCAGAACUCAGAACGACCUCUGACCUCUGCUGAUCUUUGCCAAUUCAAGUCACAGAGCCAACCCUGAGUUGAGGGACAUCAUGGUCCUGUAGCAGUUCCCAUGGGGCUCUGAAGCUGAGGUCAGAGGGUUAGAGGGUAAGGGAAGUGGACGAGCUUGAGUUUUAGGAUAUAAUCGACUCCAUGAUGCUGGACAUCUUCAUAUACCACGGCCUGCACACUGAGGUAAUGAAAUCAUGAGAGCUGAGUUAUGAUAAUAACUGUCCAGGGCACUUGUCUGAUCAUAAGCCAUCAUUAACACUGCAAAGAUCUGGGAGCCUUUAUCUUUCUGCUCUUGGUGUUUAGUACAAGGGAACUCAAUUUACUUUUUGUUUUCGUGGAACCAGAAAUAACCAGUUGCCAAUCAGUUUUCUUGAACGCUAAGUAAGGUAGCCAAGUCUCAUUAGGUUUACCAUUCCAAAAAGACCGUUCAAGACGAAGGGAAUGUUCUCAGAUGGCACCGUUUAUUACUGCUGUGGCAUGAGCAGUAACUGUGCUGUCAAGCUGGAAAGAUAGAGAAAACAGCCACGGAUAGUUUGGUCUCUCGUUCAAUAGCUUCCUCUGAGCAUUGCUCUGUUGUUCUCAGCCUAGGAAACCUCACUAGGUAAACCCUAGGAAAAGCUCUUAAUUCCCAAUUCUAGUUUACUGUUUUAUCAAGACAGUGAAUAUGCUACAGAAGUCUGUCAGCGUCAGACUCUACUGUGUGUGAAGCUUCCACUGGGAAGACCAGAAAUGUCACUCACUGUCUUGGGGUACGUCCUGGGUAUUUGCAAACGCACUGCCACAACUCUGGGGUGUAGUGUUGAUCAGUCAUCCAGCCUUCCUUUCCCUGUGGGCUGUGUGGUCAGACCCAUAAACCCCUAAGCAAUGUUAAGCUGGAACAUGAAUCCACCGUUGGGCUUCGUGCUUAAUGUUCUUAAUGUUGUUUAUUUCUGUGUGUGCAUAUCCAUGCAUGUGCGUGAAGAAGGCAGAGGACGCUGACUGAUCACUCUCACCCUAUUCCCUGCAGACAAGGUUUUUGCACCGAAUCUGAAGCGAGUCAUUCUGGCUAGGCAGGCUGGCCAGAGCUUCCAGGGUCCACCUGUCUCCACCCCCGCUUGUGCGGUUAUGAGCUCAUGCAGCAAUAGCCAUCUGGGGAUCUGCACUCAGGUCUUCACACUGCAGCAGCAGCAGCAGCACCCUGGCCCUACAGGCCAUCUCCCCAGCCCUCAUUUCUUAACUUGUCUAACUGCUCUUUUGGGGAUCUGCCAUUCCGUUGCUUCUUAGGGACUCUGCUGAUGAGCAGGGACCCAGUGGUAAUCUGUUUUUGUCUAUUUCACUUUCCACUUUAAUUCAAAGGCGUGUGUGCACUGGAGGGUCCUGGGCCACUGUGCUGUGCUAGCUGCUUUGUUUCAGUCUUGCUUUCUUUGUAACGGACCUCUGUCUUGUCUUUGCUCACAGGAGGGAGCCUCACAGGAGCAUUGUUUAACCCAGCGCUGGCACUUUCUCUGCACUUUCCGUGCUUUGACGAACUCUUCUAUAAGUUUUUUGUAGUAUACUGGCUUGCUCCUUCUGUAGGUAAGCAUAUUUCAUUUACUACAUCUGAAAGGUUAUGGCUUUUAAAAACCUAAUUUAUGUAGAGUGUUAUGCAUGCACGAGUGCACACUGUAUGUGUGCCUAGUGCCCCUGGAUACCUUGGAACUGUUCUACAGAUGGGUGUGAGCUGCUGUGUGGGUGCUGGGAAUAGAAACCAAUUUCUCUGAAGAGCAACCAGUGCUCGUAACUGACAAGCCAUCUCUCCAGCCCCCAAAUUAGAUUAUAAAAUAUUUAAAAAUAUGACACACAAGAAUUUCACUAUGUCAAUUUCUAAAGCCAGAGAAUAUAUAAAACAGGUAAAACAAAAGCAAAAACCACUUGGCUAACAUGCUUAAAAGCAUUUUAAUUUUGUGCAGUGUCCUUUGAAGCCGUAUGUGCAUAGGCGCAUUUGCCCAUCUGUGCACAAGUGGAGGCUAGAGGGUGAUUUUUACGUCUGUCACUCUCUAUUUUGAAGACGGGGUCUCUCACUGGACCUGGAGCUCUUCUGUUUAGUCAGACUGGCUAGCCGGUGAGCUGCAGUAUCUAUCCAUCUCUGCCCCACUUCCACGUGCUGGGGUUACAAGUCGUAUGCUGCCAUGCCUGACUUUUACAAGGGUGCCAGGGACCCAAAUUCAGGCCUUCAUGCUUGUACAGCGAGCACUCAAUGAGCCAACUCCCCAGCUCCUGAUGCUGUGUUUGAAUCAGGGCUGCAGGUACAGCUUAGUGCCUGCCUGAUAGGUGGGGACAGUGAAGGGUAAUUAUUUCCAUCCACAAUCUUAGCUGGGCCUGGUGUGCUGCCUGAAAUUCUAGUUACUUAGGAGGCUGAGGCAGGAGGAUUACAAGUAUAAGGCCUGCUUAGGCCACAAAGCAAUUUUAAGUCCAGCCUGGACAACUUACUGAAUCCAGUAUAUGAGUCUAAAAGUAUAAAGUUAAAAGGGUUGAGGGAUACAGCUCAGUGGUAGAAAACCUGCCUAGUAGUCGGGCAGUGGUGGCACACACCUUUAAUUCCAGCACUUGGGAGGCAGAGGCAGGUGGAUUUCUGAGUUCAAGGCUGGUCCUGGUCUACAGAUUGAGUUCCAGGACAGCCAGGGCUAUACAGAGAAACCCUGUCUUGAAAAAAACCAAAACCAACGCCCUCCUGCCAAAAACAAACAAACAAACAAACAAACAAACAAACAAACCUGCCUAGCAUUCACAAACUCUUGGGUUUUAUUUCUAGUACAAAAAUAAUUACUACAUAGUGAAUUCAGACCAGCCUGUGGUAUAUGAGACUUACCUUAAAAUAAUAAAAUCAAUUGAUCAAAAAUUUUUUGCUAAGUAAUUUCCCCUAUGAAUUUGUGAGUCCCAAACCAAAUGUUAUUUAAUCCUUUAGGUCGCUUUUCCUAUUUGUCAGAGAGCAUCCUGUGCAACAGCUCUGUAGUCAAUAGAGCCUCUAAAUGACUCCCAAGUCCCAUUCAUAGUAAUGCAGUCUAGAUCAGGACAGGGGUGUGGCCCACUAAGUGCCUGCUUAGUAUGCACGUCACUGGAGGUUUUAUCCCUGUAUC
rnacentral:lncRNA from 1 species